UAAAUCCCAAAACACAUCGUUUUGCUUUUAUUGAACUUAACUCUCAUUUUUUCCUUCUAAACAAUUAAACCCUAACAAUCUCUCAUAUGUUGUUCUUCUUCUUCCUCUUAUUGUGUUGGGAAAAUUUACGAUUGGCGCUUCCUUUUUAGUUUUCAGAAGAUUGGCGCCUCUUUUUUUUUUAAGAAGAUUGGCGCCUCUUAUCAGGUUGGGAAAACAAACCUAAAAUUUUAUUAUCAAAUCUGGUUUGACCCUUUCGAUUUCUUUUUUUCCCCUCUGUUUGUAUGAUUAUAAACAUUCUUAUGAAAUCUCUUCUUCAUAUUCAUUCAGAAACAUUAUAAAGUGAAUCGCAAUAUUGCUUUAUCCAGAAGGCAAGAGAGGCUAGAGCAAGCAACAAGGGCUGAUUUGAAAUCAAAGGAAAAAGAGGAGUUUCUAAAAUGUUUGCUAAUCGAAGUGCAGAGGGAAUUGAACUCCAAUUAGCUAAGUUCAGGUUGAAGAGGCUUCGUGGAAGGCAUUUUACCAUUGGUUCUUCUUUUCCUAAUUUACCAUUUUUGCUCAUGUUGCUUGAAACUUGAUACGACUUAUGGUUGCUCAAGCUUAAAAAUGUUUACUGCUUUGUUUGAUUCACAUUUGAUGCCAUUAUGUUCAGCUUUUGAGAAAAAUACUAUGUUAGUUUAGUUUUGGCUGAUCUAAUGCUCUUAUAGGUUGUUUGUUGAUUUGUCCAAUUAAUGACUAUUUAUUAUUGAAAUUAAAACUGUUAAUGAAUUGGUUUUUGUAACUAUUUAUUGGUAUUUCAGUUAGUCUUGUGAUUAUUGAGGGAAAAUUUGUUAAUUGGAUAUUUUCAGUUGGAUGUUUGUGCAUUUAUUAUGUCAAAUUGAUUGUUUAUAAAUGUGAAACUCUUUAAAUCAGUGGGGAUAUGUUUAGAUAUCAUAAGUACUUAAUUAACUUGAAUUCCUUCUAAGAGAAGUUACUAUUUCUUCUGUGUUAGACCUGUUUUAUGUAUACAUAUUAUUGCGCUUUUACAUUAAAAAUGUAUAAUUUUUGGAAUGAAUUUAGAGAUCAUUAGUAUGGACCGAGAAUGGAUGUAUGUUCUGUUACAAGAUGGAUAUUUGCAUCCACUAUUUGCACAAGGCGUGGAAGAAUUUGUGGAAUUUUGAAAAAGACAUCCUGAAUUCUUGGAUGGUGCGAAGAUAAGGUGCCCUUGUAAUCACACAAAGUGUCGAAACAAGAGUUAUCUUGAUGAGGUGACAGUGAUGUGUCAUCUUGGAAAACAUGGAUUCAUGAAGAACUACUAUUGCUGGUACAAUCAUGGAGAAACUUAUGUACCCAAUUCAGCCCGACCUAAUAACAUAUAUUUAGAAGAUGCAUGCCACCAAGCUGAAACCAAUAACGCUAGUUAUUUGUUUCGAUCUAUGAUGGAUGAUGUUAUUGGUCCUUCUAGUGGUCUUUAUUCAACUGAAGAUUUCAUAGAUCCUCCUCAUGUUUCACAUUCAAUGGAAGAGAUCCCAAACUUGGAUGCACAACGUUUAUAUGACAUGCUUAGGCAUCUGAACAAGAGUUAUGGGAAGGAAAUCCAGGAGGACAUUCUCAGUUACUGUUGUUGCUAAACUUAUGAACUGGAAAGAAGAAUUUCAUUUUUCAGAAAGGUUAUAUGAUGAACUCUGCAAGUUUUUGUCAAAGGUACUACCUACUGAUAAUGUAAUGACCGAUAGCUUUUAUAGCACGAAGUUAGUGCAGAAAUUGGGCUUACUGGUAGAAGUUAUUGAUUGUCGCAAGCAAGGAUGUAUGCUAUUUUAGAACGAAGAUAUUGGCCUUAAUAGCUAUAAGGUUUGUGGUCAUCCUCGAUUUAAAAAGCAAGGACGUGGUUCCAAUAAGCGGAAAACAAAUAAACCUUAUAAGAAGAUGCAUUAUUUUCUACUAAAACCACGUUUGCAGAGAUUGUAUGCUUCACAUACAACUUCAAACCACAUGAGGUGGCAUGGUGAACAUGAAUAGGAAGAAGAUGGCAUAAUGCGUCAUUGUUCAGAUUCUCCUCCUUGGAAGCCUUUUAAUGAGGCAAAUCCCUCAUUUGCUUCUGAAGUUCGAAAUGUUCGACUAGAGUUGUGUACCGAUGGGUUUCAACCCUUUGGACAAACAGGGCGACAAUAUUCAUCUUGGCCAAUAAUAGUGACACCGUACAAUUUACCACCCGGUAUGUGCAUGAAAGAUGAAUACAUGUUCUUGACAGCCAUCAUCCCCGGUCCAAAAAAUCCUAAAGACAAGUUAGAUUUUUUUUUUACAACCUCUAAUUGCUGAGUUGAAACAUUUAUGGGAGGUUGGUGUGAGCACGUAUGAUAUUUCGGCUAGGUAGAAUUUUGAAAUGAGAUCUGCCCUUACGUGGACGAUUAGUGAUUUUCCAUGUUACUCAAUGUUAUCAGGGUGGAGUACAAGAGGAAAGUUAGCUUGUCCUCAUUGCAUGGGUGAUUCUGAUGCAUUCCAAUUGACAAAAGGCCGCAAGACGUCGUGGUUUGACAAUCAUCAAAAGUUUCUACCACCAGAUCAUUCAUUUAGAAGAAACAAAAAGUGGUUUAGAAAAGGUGAGGUAGUACAAAAAAUUAUUCUUGAUAUGCAAUCUGGUUCAGCAAUACUUGAUGAAAUAGAACAUCUUGGGCUGAAAAAAGUAACAAACAAUAAAUGCAGAAGAAGAAAAUGUGCAUAUAUCUAAAUUAUAUGGUUGUGCAUUGAAAAAAAGAAGCAUUUUUUGGGAUUUGCCUUAUUGGAGAUCUAAUUUAAUAAGGCAUAAUUUGGAUGUGAUGCAUAUUGAGAAAAACUUAUUUGAUAAUAUUCUUAAUACGGUGAUGAAUGUUUCGGGAAAAACGAAAGAUAAUGCAAAAUCUAGAGACGAUUUGAAGGAGUUUUGCAAUCGCCCUGAGCUGCACCAAGAUGAAUAUCCAGGAAAAUACCCAAAGACUUCUUUCACACUUGACAAAAAGGGAUGGAAGAAUUGUGUAAUUGGGUUAGAGAACUCAAAUUUCCAGAUGGGUAUGUUUCCAACAUGGGUCGAUGUGUUGACAUGAAGAAAUUAAAAUUUUACGGGAUGAAGAGGCAUGAUUCUCAUGUGUUUAUUCAAAGACUAAUUCCAAUUGCAUUUUGUGAAUUGUUGCCUGCUAAUGUGUGGCAAGUAUUGACAGAACUAAACCUUUUUUUCAAAAGUCUAACAUCCACUGUCAUUAGAAGAGAAGAAAAUAUACAUUUGGAGCAAGAGAUUCCAAUAAUAUUAUGUAAGCUUGAGCGUAUCAUUCCUCUAAACUUCUUUGACCCAAUGAAGCAUCUUCCGAUUCAUUUGCCGCAAGAAGCGCGAAUAGCUGGUCCAAUUCAAUAUCGAUGGAUGUACCCUUUUGAGAGGUAUCUUCGCAGGCUGAAAAAUAAUGUGACUAAUAAAUCUCAAGUUGAAGGUUCAAUUUCUAAUGCAUAUUUGGUUGAAGAAACUGCUUCGUUUUGUGCACAUUACUUCAAGCCUACUAUUCCUACAAGGCAUAGGAGAGAGCCACAUAAUGAUGAUGGUGGAGCUGAUUUAAAUGCCCCUCCUAGAAUGUUGUCAAUUUUUAAACACCCGGGUCGAUCUAUGGGUCAAGCUAAAUCCAGAUAUUUAGAGGAUAAAGAAUAUCAUGCAGCUCAUACUUAUAUACUAUUAAAUUACGUUGAAGUGAAGCCAUAUAUAAAGUAACUAUGUAGUAAUUAUCUAAAUAUUUGUAUGAGAAGAUUAAUCCUAAGGAUUUAUUUUUCCAUACAGUAUAUAUGAAGAUGAAUUGGAUUCAAUAAUCCAAUUAUUACCAACACUGAGGUUGAGUUGAAACUGGAAAAUGAUUUUGCAGAAUGGUUUGAGAAAUAUGCACAUACUGAGAUACCAAACAUUACAAACCCAAUUAUGCAAGACCUUGCCAAAGGUCCGUUGCAUGAGGUGAAAUGGUACUCUGGAUACUAUGUUAAUGGAUAUAAAUUUCAUACCGAAGGACAUGGUUCAAACAGAUUAACCACGAAUAGUGGAGUAUGCAUUAGAGGUUCAAAUAGUAGCACUAGUGAAUUUGACUUUUAUGGUAAAUUGACAGAGAUCUUAGAAUUGGAUUAUCCGGCAUUACUGAUUAAAAAGGUCGUCGUAUUUAAAUGUUCUUGGUUUGAUCCGACUCCAAGGAUGGGUACAAGAGUGCAUCCGCAACUUAAACUUGUUGAUGUUAAUUGUCGUAGAGCUUUCAGUAAAUAUGAGCCAUUUAUUAUGGCUGUCCAAGCAGAACAAGUGCAUUAUUUAAGAUAUCAUACUUCAAAAUGAAAUGAUUGGUUAGAUGUUUAUAAAAUUAAACGAAGGUUUGUCGUGGAGGUACCAGAGAGAAGCAGCCUACCAGUGUCACCAACGAUAUUUGCAUACCAGGAGGAUUCUAUUGAAUAACAUGAAGUGGAUAGCCAAGUUGAUGUCAAUGAAACCUUGAUAUAAUUUCAAGAUUGAAUUUCUAUAACUAAGUUAACAAUUUAGGAUCAGUAGCUAUGUUUCUGAGUUUUGCAUUAAAUUAGUGAAGAACACCAGCAAGUGUGCACAAAGAAGUUGAACUAAUUGCUAAUCAUCUUUAGAAGCUCUUAGUUGACCGCAGUGUUAUUGGACUGUUUCAAACACAAAUAUGAAAAAACGUUUGCGUUACAUAAAAUCAAAUAAACUGUCACGAGCAGCAACAACAAGAGUUGAACGACAUUUACCAACAUCGGUAGCGCCACCACCCCAACUACCCCCAACAACGCUAACACGAUCAAAAUCACCACCACCACCACCACCAAGAGUAGAGGCAUCAGCAACGAGACCGGAAUCAUCAACCCAACGACCACCGCCACCAUAAAUAAUAGAGGCAUUAACAACAAGACCAGAAUCAUCAACACGACGACCACCACCCCCAUUAUCAAUACCACCACCGCCACCUAUACGAGAUACACAAGCUCCGUCAAUAAACAAUGAUGAUCAAUUUGAGACUCCACCUACACCACAAUCUUGUACUACACCUCUUCCUAAUCUUUCCAUAGGAUCCAACACAAACUAGCGGCAUUCAUCAGAUGUUUCUUACGUAUAUGUUAAGGGUGAAAGGUUUCUUCCCAAUGGUAAUUCUAUAGCUCGAAAUUUAUGUUUCGCAUUUAGAGAGAAGCAAGAUCCAGAGGGAUACACUUGGGCUUCUGUUAAUGCAAAUAUAAAAAAAUUUAUUGGCAGGAUUUCGAGAGAUUCUAAUCAUGGAGAGUUUGUUAAGGCCACAUGGAAUACGAUUGCGUCAAAUCACUACAACAAAACGCUUUCUAGAUGGAGAAAAUCAUGGGAAACGGUAAAGAAACUACCUCAAGGUGUUAAACAAGAUAUUUGGGAUAGCUGGCUUAAAAAAUGGUAGUCAGAUGAUUGGAAAAAAAAAAUCAAAACAAGAUUCAAAGAAUAGAAAUUCAGAACCAAAUGUUCCCGGUACCGGUGUUGCUAAGCAUAGAAGAGGAUCCAAAUCUACUAUAGAGCACACAACAUUAAUGGAGAAGGGAAAUAUUGGUGUGAAUACAUAGAGUAUUUUUAAAAAGUUACAUGAAAGGAAUGAUGGAUCAUUUGUUGAUAGCAAAUCACAUGCUAUUAGUGAUAAGAUGGAAGCAGCGUUAUCUCUUGCUACUCAACCAUUAGAUGAUGGAACUAUUCCAGAAUUUCACAUUAACCAGAUAUACUAUGAUGUUGUCGGUGGUAAGAAGAAGAGGCGUGUAUAUGGAUUAGGCUCUCUAGCAUGAGUCUUUUAUCCUCAACAUUCAUCAUCAAUGUCUGCUUCUCAAUCAGAUUCUUCAACUAAUGAUGAGGUUGAAAAGAUGAUAGAGUUCUUGUUUGAGAAGGAACAAGCAAUGGCAGCAAAGAUGCAUUCUCUGAACAACCAACAAGAGUCCUUGAACCAACAAAAAGCAUCCCUACUAAAAAUGCAAGAAAAUUGUCUCCGACUAAUGGAGAACUUAUAGGGUGGUACACAACCUAAUUAAGGAAUAUCAGCCGAGUUUUGAAGGUUGUAGCACAUAAUCAAUGGCUCUUCCUUAGUAGUUGUUUUUGUUAUCUAUGCAACAUUGAGACACAGGUUGUUUUUUUCUUUAUAUUAUAACAUUAAAACUAUGUAUGAAAUAUCUAAAUUAAUUGGCAGCUAAUUUUUAUUAAAUUUAA